UACACUCCUACGGGAGGCAGCAGUGGGGAAUAUUGCACAAUGGGCGCAAGCCUGAUGCAGCCAUGCCGCGUGUAUGAAGAAGGCCUUCGGGUUGUAAAGUACUUUCAGCGGGGAGGAAGGCGAUAAGGUUAAUAACCUUGUCGAUUGACGUUACCCGCAGAAGAAGCACCGGCUAACUCCGUGCCAGCAGCCGCGGUAAUACGGAGGGUGCAAGCGUUAAUCGGAAUUACUGGGCGUAAAGCGCACGCAGGCGGUCUGUCAAGUCGGAUGUGAAAUCCCCGGGCUCAACCUGGGAACUGCAUUCGAAACUGGCAGGCUAGAGUCUUGUAGAGGGGGGUAGAAUUCCAGGUGUAGCGGUGAAAUGCGUAGAGAUCUGGAGGAAUACCGGUGGCGAAGGCGGCCCCCUGGACAAAGACUGACGCUCAGGUGCGAAAGCGUGGGGAGCAAACAGGAUUAGAAACCCUGGUAGUCCCAU
rnacentral:rRNA from 1 species